AGUUUACCUUUGAUGGCGAGGAUGACAAGACUGUGUGGUACCAUCCUGCAGACUUUGCUACUGACAGGAAUAAUGGGGACAGAGGUCCUGAGAAAGCUGACUACCAACAACAGCAACUAGAACUUUAUAUGCACAGAAGUGGAAAGAGAAAGAAUUACCAACAAAGGAGAAAUGGCUUAUGAAACUGAUGGAAUAUGCUGAAAUGGUGAAACUUCUAAAUUAAGAGGACAUAAUGAGGAAGGUGGAAUGGAGACCCCUUAUGGAUUAUCUAUCAAAAUAUCACCAAUAUGUGAAGUCAUGGGCAGAUUUGAAAUAUAAGCAGUGGAUUAAUGAAAGAUGUAAUGGUUUAGAUAAUGAAAAUGUAUAUCUUAUAGCUAACAGCUAAUAAAAA